rnacentral:rRNA from 1 species
GUGGGGAAUAUUGGACAAUGGGCGAAAGCCUGAUCCAGCCAUGCCGCGUGUGUGAAGAAGGUCUUCGGAUUGUAAAGCACUUUAAGUUGGGAGGAAGGGCAGUAAGUUAAUACCUUGCUGUUUUGACGUUACCGACAGAAUAAGCACCGGCUAACUUCGUGCCAGCAGCCGCGGUAAUACGAAGGGUGCAAGCGUUAAUCGGAAUUACUGGGCGUAAAGCGCGGGUAGGUGGGUUUGUAAGUUGGAGGUGAAAUCCCCGGGCUCAACCUGGGAACUGCCUCCAAAACUGCAUGACUAGAGUACAGUAGAGGGUAGUGGAAUUUCCUGUGUAGCGGUGAAAUGCGUAGAUAUAGGAAGGAACACCAGUGGCGAAGGCGACUACCUGGACUGAUACUGACACUGAGGUGCGAAAGCGUGGGGAGCAAACAGGAUUAGAUACCCCAGUAGUCC